UCUUUAAAAACGGGAGAAGUCCCCGGAGACUUAUUACGCCUUCUGCCGCGUUUGCAGCGCGGCGAAGCCGGGGACUGAUAAGGGAGACCCGCGU
rnacentral:tRNA from 1 species